GAUGAACGCUGGCGGCGUGCUUAACACAUGCAAGUCGAACGGAAAGGCCCAAGCUUGCUUGGGUACUCGAGUGGCGAACGGGUGAGUAACACGUGGGUGAGCUGCCCUGCACUUCGGGAUAAGCCUGGGAAACUGGGUCUAAUACCGGCUAGGACCACAAUUUGGAUGGUGUGGUGGAAAGCUUUUCGGUGUGGGAUGAGCUCGCGGCGUAUCAGCUUGUUGGGGGGGUAAUGGCGUACCAGGGCGUCGACGGGUAGCCGGCCUGAGAGGGUGUACGGCCACAUUGGGACUGAGAGACGGGCCAGACUCCGACGGGAGGCAGCAGGGGGGAAUAUUGCACAAUGGGCGCAAGCCUGAUGCAGCGACGCCGCGUGGGGGAUGACGGCCUUCGGGUUGUAAACUCCUUUCGCUAGGGACGAAGCGUUUUUGUGACGGUACCUGGAGAAGAAGCACCGGCUAACUACGUG
rnacentral:rRNA from 1 species